UAAAAUAGGAACGAUACAGAGAUUAGCAUGGCCCCUGUGCGAGGAUGACAUGCAAAUUUGUGAAGAGUUCCAUAUAUUU
ensembl:snRNA RNU6-72P RNA, U6 small nuclear 72, pseudogene